rnacentral:rRNA from 1 species
GCGAAUUCGCCCUUAGAGUUUGAUCCUGGCUCAGAACGAACGCUGGCGGCGUGCUUAACACAUGCAAGUCGUACGAGAAACCGGAACUUCGGUUCCGGGAGUAAAGUGGCGCACGGGUGAGUAACGCGUAGGUAAUCUACCCUUGGGUUUGGAAUAACCCGCCGAAAGGCGGACUAAUACCGGAUAAAAUUUUUCAGAGGGAUCUGAAAGAUCAAAGGUGGCCUCUCCAUGGAUGCUACUGCCUGAGGAUGAGCCUGCGUCCCAUUAGCUUGUUGGUAGGGUAAUGGCCCACCAAGGCUACGAUGGGUAGCUGGUCUGAGAGGAUGACCAGCCACACUGGAACUGGAACACGGUCCAGACUCCUACGGGAGGCAGCAGUGAGGAAUAUUGCGCAAUGGGGGAAACCCUGACGCAGCGACGCCGCGUGGGUGAAGAAGGCCUUCGGGUCGUAAAGCCCUGUCUAGAGGGAAGAAAUUCUCAAUGGAAUAAUACCCAUUGAGAUUGACGGUACCUCUGGAGGAAGCACCGGCUAACUCCGUGCCAGCAGCCGCGGUAAUACGGAGGGUGCGAGCGUUGUUCGGAAUUACUGGGCGUAAAGCGGGUGUAGGCGGUUUGUUAAGUCAGAUGUGAAAGCCCACGGCUCAACCGUGGAAGUGCAUCUGAAACUGGCAGACUUGAGUACCGGAGAGGGAAGUGGAAUUCCUGGUGUAGGGGUGAAAUCCGUAGAUAUCAGGAGGAACACCGGU